CAGGGAUCUAUUCAGUAGCCCCACUCACCACUGAAUACAGCCUUCAGCCCCGCCAGCCGGGAACCUGACCAGCACCCACAGGAAGCCAGGGUUGAGCACUUCUCGUCCACACCGUCGCUUCACCUCCUGGCCACGCGUGUGUGCAUCUAUAUCUAAGGGUGUUGUGUGUUGUGUCCGUCUCCUUCAG
rnacentral:lncRNA from 1 species